rnacentral:rRNA from 1 species
GACGAACGCUGGCGGCGUGCUUAACACAUGCAAGUCGAACGGAAAGGCCCUGCUUUUGUGGGGUGCUCGAGUGGCGAACGGGUGAGUAACACGUGAGUAACCUGCCCUUGACUUUGGGAUAACUUCAGGAAACUGGGGCUAAUACCGGAUAGGAGCUCCUGCUACAUGGUGGGGGUUGGAAAGUUUCGGCGGUUGGGGAUGGACUCGCAGCUUAUCAGCUUGUUGGUGGGGUAGUGGCUUACCAAGGCUUUGACGGGUAGCCGGCCUGAGAGGGUGACCGGCCACAUUGGGACUGAGAUACGGCCCAGACUCCUACGGGAGGCAGCAGUGGGGAAUAUUGCACAAUGGGCGGAAGCCUGAUGCAGCAACGCCGCGUGCGGGAUGACGGCCUUCGGGUUGUAAACCGCUUUCGCCUGUGACGAAGCGUGAGUGACGGUAAUGGGUAAAGAAGCACCGGCUAACUACGUG